rnacentral:rRNA from 1 species
UACGAGGGAUCCUAGCGUUGUUCGGAAUCAUUGGGCGUAAAGCGGAUGCAGGUGGCUCCGUAAGUCAAGUGUGAAAGCCCAGGGCUUAACCCUGGAAGUGCAUUUGAAACUGCGGGGCUUGAAUGCUGGAGAGGUCGCUAGAAUUCCUGGUGUAGUGGUGAAAUACGUAGAUAUCAGGAGGAACAUCGGAGGCGAAGGCGGGUGACCAGCCAGACAUUGACACUCAUAUCCGAAAGUGUGGGGAUCAAACAGG